UUCUAGAACAUUCAGUAGUUAGCUGGAUGUUUCUAAAAUUGCUAUAUUUCAGAUUCCUAACGAAAUAGUUUUCCUUUUAUUCAACUGAAAAUAGCUUAACACCUAAUCAUUUUCAAACAAGAUAAUUUUGUAUCUAUCCUUAAUGAUUAAAAAUUGUCGUCACGAUAAUGGUGGAGAGAAAUGUUUAUUUUGGCAGAACAAGUCAUGUUUUGUAAUACGAAGAAGUUCAACACACUUACUUAUUUCACGAAGAUCAGACAGUUUUGAGCUUACGUCUUCCCGCUUUCUACAUUAUUAGUUAGAAAACGUUUAUUUUAAUCUAGAAUUAAGACUAAAGUACCAUGUUACAGAACGGAGGAAAAACUUACAAUGAACAGAUUGAGUUUAAUGUAAGAAAUAUGAGGACUGAAGAAAUACCUCAAGUUAUGGAUAUUUAUAAAGAAACUGAGUGGCACACUGGGCAUGAUGGUAU